rnacentral:rRNA from 1 species
AUACGGAGGAUCCGAGCGUUAUCCGGAUUUAUUGGGUUUAAAGGGCGCGCAGGCGGCCAUUUAAGUCAGCGGUUAAAUCGUGGGGCUCAACCCCAUUCUGCCGUUGAUACUGGGUGGCUUGAUUGCGGUCGAGGUUGGCGGAAUUCGUUGUGUAGCGGUGAAAUGCAUAGAUAUGACGAAGAACACCGAUUGCGUAGGCAGCUGACCAGACCGCAAAUGACGCUCAUGCACGAAAGUGCGGGGAUCGAACAGGAUUAGAUACCCUGGCAGUCCGCACAGUAAACGAUGAAUACUUGUUUUCGGCGAUAUAAUGUCGGAGGCAAAGCGAAAGCGAUAAGUAUUCCACCUGGGGAGUACGCCGGCAACGGUGAAACUCAAAGGAAUUGACGGGG